AAAAUCUGCCCCCAAUAGUGAGUUAUGAAUUAUUGUGAGGGUGUCUACUUUAGCAGUUAGUGAUAUAGAUACUUAUUCUAUUUAUAGUGAAGCAUUAAUGGUGAUCAUUUUAAGGUAUACUAUUUAAGGAGUUUAUUUAUGUUGAAUUUGCUGUUUCUUUCUUCUUUUUUUCAAAGUAAAUUGGCAUUUGUAAUUAAAGAGAUUUCGUUUUAGAAUCUGUAUCAUCUUGAGUUCUUUAGUUGCAAAUUAUAAUUUGGAUUGGGCUGCCAAUGGUAUUGGAUAUUCCUAAGCGUUAAUAUACCAUCUGUAUUGCAGCUAGAAUUUAGUUGUUAAAGGGUGAAGACAUAAAUAAACAAGUUGAUGUUGUACAAGUUCAAUGUAUGGUGAUUGUUGGAGUUUAUUAUUAUCAACAAUUGUUCCAUAAAACUCAAUGUGUGUUUCUGUUUUCAAAUCUCUUUUGGUUUGACUUCAUGAUCAGUUGUUGGAUGUGUUUUGUUUAAAAUUUAGUAUCUUUUUUUUUUCUAAAGUUUGCUUAGGUUGUAUUGGUAUAUUGAUAUUUCAUCAUGUUGUCAGGAGCGAGGUAGGAACUUAUUACG
rnacentral:misc_RNA from 1 species